UCGAAGCUGGUCGAACUGGUCAGGCAGCCGCAGACGCUGGCUACAGCCCUCGCCGCCGCUCGGGCCGUGUUCGAAGGUACGGGUUUCGAG
rnacentral:tRNA from 1 species